rnacentral:rRNA from 1 species
GACGAACGCUGGCGGCGUGCCUAAUACAUGCAAGUCGAGCGAACAGAGAAGGAGCUUGCUCCUUCGACGUUAGCGGCGGACGGGUGAGUAACACGUGGGCAACCUACCUUAUAGUUUGGGAUAACUCCGGGAAACCGGGGCUAAUACCGAAUAAUCUGUUUCACCUCAUGGUGAAACACUGAAAGACGGUUUCGGCUGUCGCUAUAGGAUGGGCCCGCGGCGCAUUAGCUAGUUGGUGAGGUAACGGCUCACCAAGGCGACGAUGCGUAGCCGACCUGAGAGGGUGAUCGGCCACACUGGGACUGAGACACGGCCCAGACUCCUACGGGAGGCAGCAGUAGGGAAUCUUCCACAAUGGGCGAAAGCCUGAUGGAGCAACGCCGCGUGAGUGAAGAAGGAUUUCGGUUCGUAAAACUCUGUUGUAAGGGAAGAACAAGUACAGUAGUAACUGGCUGUACCUUGACGGUACCUUAUUAGAAAGCCACGGCUAACUACGUGCCAGCAGCCGCAGUAA